CCUACGGGUGGCAGCAGUGAGGAAUAUUCGUCAAUGGACGAGAGUCUGAACCAGCCAAGUAGCGUGAAGGAUGACUGCCCUAUGGGUUGUAAACUUCUUUUAUAAAGGAAUAAAACGAGGCACGUGUGCCUUUUUGCAUGUACUUUAUGAAUAAGGAUCGGCUAACUCCGUUCCAUCAGCCGCGGUAAUACGGAGGGUCCGAGCGUUAUCCGUAUUUAUUGGGUUUAAAGGGAGCGUAGAUGGGUUUUUAAGUCAGUUGUGAAAGUUUGCGGCUCAACCGUAAAAUUGCAAUUGAUACUGGCAGUCUUGAGUACAGUUGAGGUAGGCGGAAUUCGUGGUGUAGCGGUGAAAUGCGUAGAUAUAACGAAGAACCCCGAUUGCGAAGGCAGCUUACUAAAUUGUGACUGACAUUGAUGCUCGAAAGUGUGGGUAGCAAACAGGAUUAGAUACCCUUGUAGUC
rnacentral:rRNA from 1 species